rnacentral:rRNA from 1 species
AUUGAACGCUGGCGGCAGGCUUAACACAUGCAAGUCGAGCGGGGGAAGGUAGCUUGCUACCGGACCUAGCGGCGGACGGGUGAGUAAUGCUUAGGAAUCUGCCUAUUAGUGGGGGACAACAUCUCGAAAGGGAUGCUAAUACCGCAUACGUCCUACGGGAGAAAGCAGGGGAUCUUCGGACCUUGCGCUAAUAGAUGAGUCUAAGUCGGAUUAGCUAGUUGGUGGGGUAAAGGCCUACCAAGGCGACGAUCUGUAGCGGGUCCGAGAGGAUGAUCCGCCACACGGGGACUGAGACACGGCCCAGACGCCUACGGGAGGCAUCAGUGGGGAAUAUUGGACAAUGGGGGGAACCCUGAUCCAGCCAUGCCGCGUGUGUGAAGAAGGCCUUAUGGUUGUAAAGCACUUUAAGCGAGGAGGAGGCUACUUUAGUUAAUACCUAGAGAUAGUGGACGUUACUCGCAGAAUAAGCACCGGCUAACUCUGUGCCAGCCGCCGCGGUAAUAC